rnacentral:SRP_RNA from 1 species
GCCGGGCGUGGUGGCUCACGCCUGUAAUCCCAACACUUUGGGAGGCUGAGGUGGGUGGACUGCCUGAGGUCAGGAGUUCAAGACCAGCCUGGCCAACAUGGUGAGACCCCAUCUCCA